rnacentral:rRNA from 1 species
UUAAGCGACUAAGCGUACACGGUGGAUGCCCUGGCAGUCAGAGGCGAUGAAGGACGUGCUAAUCUGCGAUAAGCGUCGGUAAGGUGAUAUGAACCGUUAUAACCGGCGAUUUCCGAAUGGGGAAACCCAGUGUGUUUCGACACACUAUCAUUAACUGAAUCCAUAGGUUAAUGAGGCGAACCGGGGGAACUGAAACAUCUAAGUACCCCGAGGAAAAGAAAUCAACCGAGAUUCCCCCAGUAGCGGCGAGCGAACGGGGAGCAGCCCAGAGCCUGAAUCAGUAUGUGUGUUAGUGGAAGCGUCUGGAAAGGCGCGCGAUACAGGGUGACAGCCCCGUACACAAAAAUGCACAUAUUGUGAGCUCGAUGAGUAGGGCGGGACACGUGGUAUCCUGUCUGAAUAUGGGGGGACCAUCCUCCAAGGCUAAAUACUCCUGACUGACCGAUAGUGAACCAGUACCGUGAGGGAAAGGCGAAAAGAACCCCGGCGAGGGGAGUGAAAAAGAACCUGAAACCGUGUACGUACAAGCAGUGGGAGCACGCUUAGGCGUGUGACUGCGUACCUUUUGUAUAAUGGGUCAGCGACUUAUAUUCUGUAGCAAGGUUAACCGAAUAGGGGAGCCGAAGGGAAACCGAGUCUUAACUGGGCGUUAAGUUGCAGGGUAUAGACCCGAAACCCGGUGAUCUAGCCAUGGGCAGGUUGAAGGUUGGGUAACACUAACUGGAGGACCGAACCGACUAAUGUUGAAAAAUUAGCGGAUGACUUGUGGCUGGGGGUGAAAGGCCAAUCAAACCGGGAGAUAGCUGGUUCUCCCCGAAAGCUAUUUAGGUAGCGCCUCGUGAAUUCAUCUCCGGGGGUAGAGCACUGUUUCGGCAAGGGGGUCAUCCCGACUUACCAACCCGAUGCAAACUGCGAAUACCGGAGAAUGUUAUCACGGGAGACACACGGCGGGUGCUAACGUCCGUCGUGAAGAGGGAAACAACCCAGACCGCCAGCUAAGGUCCCAAAGUCAUGGUUAAGUGGGAAACGAUGUGGGAAGGCCCAGACAGCCAGGAUGUUGGCUUAGAAGCAGCCAUCAUUUAAAGAAAGCGUAAUAGCUCACUGGUCGAGUCGGCCUGCGCGGAAGAUGUAACGGGGCUAAACCAUGCACCGAAGCUGCGGCAGCGACGCUUAUGCGUUGUUGGGUAGGGGAGCGUUCUGUAAGCCUGUGAAGGUGUGCUGUGAGGCAUGCUGGAGGUAUCAGAAGUGCGAAUGCUGACAUAAGUAACGAUAAAGCGGGUGAAAAGCCCGCUCGCCGGAAGACCAAGGGUUCCUGUCCAACGUUAAUCGGGGCAGGGUGAGUCGACCCCUAAGGCGAGGCCGAAAGGCGUAGUCGAUGGGAAACAGGUUAAUAUUCCUGUACUUGGUGUUACUGCGAAGGGGGGACGGAGAAGGCUAUGUUGGCCGGGCGACGGUUGUCCCGGUUUAAGCGUGUAGGCUGGUUUUCCAGGCAAAUCCGGAAAAUCAAGGCUGAGGCGUGAUGACGAGGCACUACGGUGCUGAAGCAACAAAUGCCCUGCUUCCAGGAAAAGCCUCUAAGCAUCAGGUAACAUCAAAUCGUACCCCAAACCGACACAGGUGGUCAGGUAGAGAAUACCAAGGCGCUUGAGAGAACUCGGGUGAAGGAACUAGGCAAAAUGGUGCCGUAACUUCGGGAGAAGGCACGCUGAUAUGUAGGUGAAGUCCCUCGCGGAUGGAGCUGAAAUCAGUCGAAGAUACCAGCUGGCUGCAACUGUUUAUUAAAAACACAGCACUGUGCAAACACGAAAGUGGACGUAUACGGUGUGACGCCUGCCCGGUGCCGGAAGGUUAAUUGAUGGGGUCAGCGCAAGCGAAGCUCUUGAUCGAAGCCCCGGUAAACGGCGGCCGUAACUAUAACGGUCCUAAGGUAGCGAAAUUCCUUGUCGGGUAAGUUCCGACCUGCACGAAUGGCGUAAUGAUGGCCAGGCUGUCUCCACCCGAGACUCAGUGAAAUUGAACUCGCUGUGAAGAUGCAGUGUACCCGCGGCAAGACGGAAAGACCCCGUGAACCUUUACUAUAGCUUGACACUGAACAUUGAGCCUUGAUGUGUAGGAUAGGUGGGAGGCUUGGAAGUGUGGACGCCAGUCUGCAUGGAGCCGACCUUGAAAUACCACCCUUUAAUGUUUGAUGUUCUAACGUUGACCCGUGAUCCGGGUUGCGGACAGUGUCUGGUGGGUAGUUUGACUGGGGCGGUCUCCUCCUAAAGAGUAACGGAGGAGCACGAAGGUUGGCUAAUCCUGGUCGGACAUCAGGAGGUUAGUGCAAUGGCAUAAGCCAGCUUGACUGCGAGCGUGACGGCGCGAGCAGGUGCGAAAGCAGGUCAUAGUGAUCCGGUGGUUCUGAAUGGAAGGGCCAUCGCUCAACGGAUAAAAGGUACUCCGGGGAUAACAGGCUGAUACCGCCCAAGAGUUCAUAUCGACGGCGGUGUUUGGCACCUCGAUGUCGGCUCAUCACAUCCUGGGGCUGAAGUAGGUCCCAAGGGUAUGGCUGUUCGCCAUUUAAAGUGGUACGCGAGCUGGGUUUAGAACGUCGUGAGACAGUUCGGUCCCUAUCUGCCGUGGGCGCUGGAGAACUGAGGGGGGCUGCUCCUAGUACGAGAGGACCGGAGUGGACGCAUCACUGGUGUUCGGGUUGUCAUGCCAAUGGCACUGCCCGGUAGCUAAAUGCGGAAGAGAUAAGUGCUGAAAGCAUCUAAGCACGAAACUUGCCCCGAGAUGAGUUCUCCCUGACUCCUUGAGAGUCCUGAAGGAACGUUGAAGACGACGACGUUGAUAGGCCGGGUGUGUAAGCGCAGCGAUGCGUUGAGCUAACCGGUACUAAUGAACCGUGAGGCUUAACCUU